rnacentral:rRNA from 1 species
GACGAACCGUGCGAACGUUAUUCGGAAUCACUGGGCUUAAAGCGCGUGUAGGCGGGAGGGCACGUCCGACGCUGAAAUCCCACGGCUCAACCGUGGAACGGGCGCGGAUACGACUCUUCUGGAGGAACGUAGGGGGACCUGGAACUUCCGGUGGAGCGGUGAAAUGCGUUGAGAUCGGAAGGAACGCCCGUGGCGAAAGCGAGGUCCUGGACGUUUACUGACGCUGAGACGCGAAAGCCAGGGGAGCGAACGGG